rnacentral:rRNA from 1 species
GUAGGGGGCUAGCGUUGUCCGGAUUUAUUGGGCGUAAAGAGCUCGUAGGUGGUUCGGUAAGUCGGAUGUGAGAUCUCCAGGCUCAACCUGGAGGGGUCAUUCGAUACUGCCGUGACUAGAGUUCGGUAGAGGAGUGUGGAAUUCCUGGUGGAGCGGUGAAAUGCGCAGAGAUCAGGAGGGACACCCGUAGCGAAGGCGGCACUCUGGGCCGAUACUGACACUGAGGAGCGAAAGCGUGGGGAGCGAACAGGAUUAGAUACCCUGGUAGUCCACGCCGUAAACGUUGGGCACUAGGUGUGGGGUUCUAUCGACGGAUUCCGUGCCGUAGCUAACGCAUUAAGUGCCCCGCCUGGGGAGUACGGCCGCAAGGCUA